AAAUGAAAUUUAGAUCUUUAUCUGUCAAGAGAAAAGGCUAUCUGUUCCAAUUAUGCCAGUCCCAUAAAAAAAGUUCCUACGGUGGGCUUGAUAAAAUAAUGACUAGGGUCUACCAGACUGGGAAAUACUGCUGUUCUGUAUACACACAUACAAACGUAUAAACAGAGCUUGCAAAUUCUACUUGGAGUGGCCCUGUGGCCGCUCCUGCUGCUGUGUCACAGCUUGGGGAUGGGCAAUGUUCUCCAGGUGGUCCAGGGAGCAGCGAACUCUCGCAGGACAGCUCCCUACCCCAGCUCUGGAUGGAGGUCAGCCUAUGUCAGACACAUAGCAGGGAGCAGCGGGCACACUGGGGUAAGCCACACUGUGGCAGAUGUCAUCCCUGCUCCAAAGAUAGUGGCAAAUUUGCCCUGGAUAAUGCAAUGCUGAAAAAGAUAACUUGGCGAGCGCCAAGCAUUACCUCCUCCCCUGCUCGCAAAGCCAGCGACUUUGCACUGUGAAAGCAGCCUACUGUACUGCCUUGCUUAGAGGUCAUGUGCCCUAUUUUGAGAACUGAACCAAAGCGGAUGAAGUUUUGAGCCGCGUCCAAGUGAGGCAGCUGGGCAUUUCCCACUGCUCCUGGCCCCAGCGAGGCAGGCAGUCACAUGCUGUGAUGGACAAGUCCUUCAGCACAGAGUUAACUUUGAUGCUGAUCACCUCACCAGUGACUGCAGGAGAUGCGUAUCUGGCUGGAGAUCGCUUUUCAGAAGGAUUGCAGCCAACUUUGGGUGGAUGCGGUAGAGCGAAGCUUGCUUUCCCAGUACCAGUGGUGCCGGUGUCCCGAGAGCACCCCGCAGCCUGCCGGCUCCCCAGCUCGCUGCGCUGAACACCUGGCUUCCCAGGCACACCGAAAGCCUUACAAACCUGACACAAAACCUGGAAAAUUGCUAUGGUCCAGCUAGAGGAUCCCAUUCAGUGUGCCACCAAAUAUCCCUGGGCCCAAGCUGGGCAGCUGAUCUCACAUGGCAGGGAAGAUUGUUCUGUGUCGGAUGCAUGUUGACGUACACAGGCGAAGGACAGCUGAUACUGUGAUGUGAGUCCUGCAGAAGACCUUCACUUUUUAAGUCCUGAGCAUUGCUCUUUCCAGUAAGAAGAACGUAUAGAAAUAAUGAAAAGAAACACGUAAAAAUACACUCACAUGUUUCGUGAUACUGAGCAGCAUUUGUAGCAUUUGCACUACUUCAAUAUAAUUGCAGCAAUGGUGAUUGUAAUGUGGUUUAUACUGUUACGACAGAAAGGAAUAGACCUUCUUUGCUGAGAGUCACAGAAAGUGAAUAAAUAAAGCAAGCAUUUUUACUACAGAGCCUAUGCUGAAGGGUGUCUAGUUCUAAGCUUCCUUGUAAACCCUGUGUGGAGAGUAAAUGAGUCCCAGGGAUUGUCACUCCUUGUUGAUCAUCAGUGGGCGUAGAUGCAGUCGAUGUAAAGGUCUAUGACUCACUGAGCUUACUGAGGUGAAACCAGAAAGCAGUAGAUAAUUGCACCAUUGUGAAAAAGAUUAUCACAGUUUGAUUACAGAAAAAAACCCUCUAAUAGUGCCAUGACUCUUGGGAAGUUGAAUAAGUAAUGGGACCAAGAAUGAGGAGUUUGUCAAGGAAUGGCAAAGUGUCCUCUUUAAUUGAUCCAUUUUAAUCAAGUGUGCCAGAAAGAUUUGCAGAAUUGAAGAUGUAAUAGGUCAAAACAUGCUAAGGUACUGCCCCAUGCCAGUUCUGAUUAAAAUAAAGAAGACAGAUCCAAGAGAUAAAGUGAGAUAGGCAAGACAUUUCUGAAUCCUUAAGUAACUGGAACACUUCAUCAAAGAGGCCAUGCGACCUCCUGUUGUAUAUACAAAAAAAGAUACUGAGUUCAAAUUUACCCACUCUGGUUUCAUACUCCGUAAAAUGAAAAUGAAGAACAAGGGAUUACAGGUAAUUCAAGUUGAUAUGAACACAGCAGUAUGAAGAGGGCAUCUAUGUUAGAGGGUUAAUGAAAAUUAAUUUGCUGCUACAUAAACCAAAAAAUGUGUAUAUAAAAUACAGAAAAUAUAUAAGCAAUUGAGAGUUGAAGUAGUAAUGGCAUAAAACAAUAUGCACCUUUAUAGAGCGCAUGAAACUUGGCAGGAUGGUUUUCAUGCUGGUAAAGACAUCAUAAGGAGGCCCCAGUCCCUCCAGGGAUGAGGCAUCCACAGCUUCUCGGGGCAAUCUGUGCUAGCGCCUCACCCCUCUACGUUGGUGUGAGAGGACUCAGCAUCCUGGCCAAGACAACAGGAAUAUAUUUCGUUUCCAGCUUGUCCCUCUCCCUGUGAGGCCUCCUCACGUACAGCAUCUAGAGAAUCAGCUGUGAGACAGAGCUUUGCAUCUGGGGUGGGUGAGGUUUUUAGGGAGUGUUAGCUAGGACCAAACCUCCAGGGAGACAAGAGGAUUGAGAACAGCAGUAAUCAAAAUAGGAUAGAAGAGUUGAAGCCCUUCCACCCGUGUCCCGGUGACCUUGGUAAGGAAUAAGACACGACAACCUUGAUGUAGACUAGUCCAAAGAGCCUGUUCAAAGAAACCUUAGUUUGAGGUGACAUGUAAAACAGUCAGUCAAAACCAGAGUAAAGUAUCUCCUCCAUCCUCCUUUACCUGUCUUUCUCCAGCUCUUUGCACUUCUGUAAAACUGAAAAAGAAGAGGAAGGCUGCAGAUGCACAUCACAAAUCUUUGCCAAAGAUCAUCUGCAAAUGACCGUGAAUGCCUUCAAGUGUGUUCAGUGGUUAUUCCUUGUUUGAUGCAGCAGUGGCCACAUAAUUAUGUUGCUUCAGGGCUUGCUAGAACAUAAUAUUAAAUCUGAUUCCACUUAUUGCUGUGCAUCCCUGCUAUUUUUACUUGUUGGAUUUA